CCGUUUCGAUUUGUUGCGGGCAAAUAAAAUGAAUAUGGGCGUCAAUUCCCCCUGCGGUGACAAUUUUUCCUUCCGCUGCAAUAACUUCCGUCGCUGCUCCGAUCGUAAUAUUCACCCCGUCCAUCAACAACGGAUUACCCGCUUUCCCAAUCGCCGCAAUCUUCCCAUCUUUGAUGCCGAUAUCGGCUUUAUAAAUUCCCGUAUAGUCAACAAUGAUCGCAUUUGUCAGCACUAAAUCCAUCGAUUCCGAACGUGUGGCAAGCGGAUGCUGUCCCAUUCCGUCACGA
rfam:Anoxybacillus flavithermus strain 25 c48, whole genome shotgun sequence.